AAGCCCAACAUCUAAGAAACUCCAAAGAAUUCAAAGGGGUUAAUUAAGCGGAAUAAUACAACUAGAAGUAUGAUUAGGGAUGGCUUCAUACUUGAGUCAAGAUAUAUCAAGGAUAAGCCAGUCAGGUGUCAGAGCCCGAUGAACCACGUCAAUCAAUCCAGCUAAUUUCAUCUUAUCAAAGGUCAAACCGGGAUAUAAGUUAGUCAUUGGAAUCAAGGAUGGUCAAAUCUAGUAAGAUCCAACUAAAGCUAAAGUGGAAGUUGGUGCACUGCUUGACAGCCAUACUCAAGAUCCUUUAUUGAGAAUAACAUGGAUUGUGAGAGAGAGACUCGUUAGGGUCACCUACCCACUAGAGAGAGAAAAGAGGUCCUGGAAAAGAGAAAAAAAUAGAACAAGAAAGAGAAAAGGGUAAGAGAGACAACUAAAUAGAGAAAUAAGAGAGAGNNNNNNNNNNNNNNNNNNNNUUACUCAUUCAUUUUCUUAGCAAAAGUGGGGACUCUAUCGUCCCUCUUCCCUAGAACAAUGAAGAUUCCAUCAGCCGUCGUCAGAGCCUUAGUGACACAAUAGGUGGGACCCCAGUUGGUGAUCGGCAAUGAUGAAUGGC
rnacentral:lncRNA from 1 species